UACGUAGGGUGCGAGCGUUGUCCGGAAUUACUGGGCGUAAAGAGCUCGUAGGUGGUUUGUCGCGUUGUUCGUGAAAUCUCACGGCUUAACUGUGAGCGUGCGGGCGAUACGGGCAGACUAGAGUACUGCAGGGGAGACUGGAAUUCCUGGUGUAGCGGUGGAAUGCGCAGAUAUCAGGAGGAACACCGGUGGCGAAGGCGGGUCUCUGGGCCUUACCUGACGCUGAGGAGCGAAAGCGUGGGGAGCGAACAGG
rnacentral:rRNA from 1 species